rnacentral:rRNA from 1 species
AAAUAUCUGCCCUAUCAACUUUCGAUGGUAGGAUAGAGGCUACCAUGGUUUCAACGGGUAACGGGAAUAAGGGUUCGAUUCCGGAGAGGGAGCCUGAGAAACGGUACACAUCCAAGGAAGGCAGCAGGCGCGCAAUUUACCCAAUCCCGACACGGGGAGGUAGUGACAAUAAAUAACAUAUAGGGCUCUUUUGGGUCUAAUAAAUUGGAAUGAGUACAAUUUAAAUCUCUUAACGAGGAACAAUUGGAGGGCAAGUCUGGUGCCAGCAGCCCGCGGGUAAUUCCAGCUCCAAUAGCGUAUAUUAAAGUUGUUGCAGUUAAAAAGCUCGGUAGUUA